rnacentral:rRNA from 1 species
AAUUAACCCUUCGAAAGCCCGAGGCAAACAUGCCGCGUGUAUGAAGAAGGCCUUCGGGUUGUAAAGUACUUUCAGUUGUGAGGAAGGGCGUGUAGUUAAUAGCUGCAUAUCUUGACGUUAGCAACAGAAGAAGCACCGGCUAACUCCGUGCCAGCAGCCGCGGUAAUACGGAGGGUGCGAGCGUUAAUCGGAAUUACUGGGCGUAAAGCGCAUGCAGGUGGUUCAUUAAGUCAGAUGUGAAAGCCCGGGGCUCAACCUCGGAACUGCAUUUGAAACUGGUGAACUAGAGUGCUGUAGAGGGGGGUAGAAUUUCAGGUGUAGCGGUGAAAUGCGUAGAGAUCUGAAGGAAUACCAGUGGCGAAGGCGGCCCCCUGGACAGACACUGACACUCAGAUGCGAAAGCGUGGGGAGCAAACAGGAUUAGAUACCCUGGUAGUCCACGCCCGUAAAACCUGUGUCCUACUUGGAUGUGGGCUUGAGCCGUGGCUUUCGGAGCUAACGCGUUAAGUAGACCGCCUGGGGAGUACGGUCGCGAGAUUAAAACUCAAAUGAAUUGACGGGGGCCCGCACAAGCGGUGGAGCAUGUGUUUU